CUACGGGCCGCUCCAGUGAGGAAUAUUGCACAAUGGGGGGAACCCUGAUGCAGCAACGCCGCGUGGAGGAUGACGCAUUUCGGUGUGUAAACUCCUUUUAUAUGUCAAGAAAAUGACGGUAGCAUAUGAAUAAGCACCGGCUAACUCCGUGCCAGCAGCCGCGGUAAUACGGAGGGUGCAAGCGUUACUCGGAAUCACUGGGCGUAAAGGACGCGUAGGCGGGUUGGAAAGUCAGGUGUGAAAUCCUACAGCUUAACUGUAGAACUGCACUUGAAACUUCUAAUCUAGAGUAUGGGAGGGGGAGAGGGAAUUAGUGGUGUAGGGGUAAUAUCCGUAGAUAUCACUAGGAAUACCUAAAGCGAAGGCGAUCUCCUGGAACAUUACUGACGCUAAGGCGUGAAAGCGUGGGGAGCAAACAGGAUUAGAUACCCUCGUAGUC
rnacentral:rRNA from 1 species